CUUUCUCUCUAAUUGCACGUUUCCUUUCCCUAUUGUGGCCGACACACCUCUGCUCCUCCUUAUCCCUUCGCACACAACUCUCACUCUCUCUUUCCUUUCUCUCUUGGUCCCAUGUGGCCAGCUGCCCCGACCGGAUCUGCUUCUCCUUUACUUUCAGUUCUCCCUGCGUUUUCUCGACCCCUUUUUCCCUCGAAGCUGCCCGUGUCUCUCCUUCUCUCUUUCCUGUUUGUUUCGCGCCAGAGCACCGAACAGCCCUUGCAACUCUUGGCCACACGUCCGCUGCCCAGCCAUCUUCAGUCAAACUAGUGAAAUCGGAGUUGCUUCUUCAGUGAAUUCGUUGAACCAGCAACGAAGCCGCGCAUCCGCGACACCUCCAUCGAAGGCCACCCCUCCACUUUGUCAGCCCACGAGCAGCCCGCAUCUUCGUCCCGCAUCAGCGACCAAAGCUGCUUCUCUCUCUCCGCUCGGUUCGCUCCAUGAAGCAGCGUUCCCUCUGCUAGCAACGAAGACAGCAGCUCCUUUGGGUCACCGAAUCCGCAAGUGCCGCAACCUAUCGGAUUCAGCAGAAGUUCGGGCCCAGCAAAGCCUGGUUCAGCAGCGCAAGUCUUGGCCCAGCAGCAAGCCCACGCCUUUUAGAAGCCCAGCAGAAUCAGAAGCCCGCGAAGUCAGGCCCACCAAAUCAGUGGACUCAGCCCAGCUCGAGCAGCGAGCUUGUAGGCUGAUUUCAGCCCCGGUUUGACCCCGGUUGGCGGACCCACUUUGGAGAGGAUUGACCCUUGUCACGUGCUCGUCGAUUUGGUCCGAUCGGCUCGUUCAUCAAGUCCUUGGAUGCAGUAAACUUUUAUUUUGAAGAUCUUGAAAGUCCAGUGCAGUCUAUUGAAGGCUCCAAUUGAAGUGUAGAGGAUGAUGGAGAAGAGGAUAGGGACCCGUAGUUUGUAGAACCCCACUCUUGUUUGUAGACCUUAUUUUUACGCUGGCUUAAGUUGAUUUUGACUUAAUAGUUCACCUUGUAAUAAUAGGUGCAUUGGUUUGCAAUGUAUAUAUGAGUGAACGUUUUAAAGGUUUGAAAUUUAAUCCUACUAUGUUAUCCCAAUAU